GAAGCCGCCGUGACGGUGAAAGGCUCUUCUCUCCGGAGCAAGUGGACGAGGUGACACGCCGCGCCUCCUCCGAAAGCCGCCGGUGGGCGAGCCUAGCCAGCCGUUCGCCCCGGGGGAAGAGAAAGGAGAGAGGGCGAGAGCCGGGCAUGCCUCCGCCGAGGCACUCGCGCCCCUGAGGGAAUCGGCCGCCGACGCCGACUCGCGCCUCCUUUUCUGACACCGGGCUGGGGCGCACGAGAUCUGGGCAUCGCGCCUCGUUUGGAGAGGUCUCUGCUGCACUCGCCGGCUUUCCCCUUCGCCCUUUCCCGGGGAAGGAGGAGCAGGAGGAGGAAGAAGGGAGUGUGCCGAGGGGUCUCCCCCCUCCGUCGGUCCGCAGCGCAUGAGGAGAGAAGCGCCCUGAGGACGCCUUCCUCCCGGGCUUCGAGAGACUUGGCUUGGUUUGGCGAGGCUGCCCGUCGGCAUUCACCUUGGUCUUGCGCUCCUUCCAUCUCCGCGGGCGCGGAGGGAGCCCCCCUCGUAAACAUGGCGAGCGAUUCUCCGGCUCGGAGCUUGGACGAGAUCGAUCUGUCCGCCUUGAGGGAUCCUGCAGGCAUCUUUGAACUGGUUGAACUGGUUGGCAAUGGGACUUACGGACAAGUGUAUAAGGGCCGUCAUGUUAAAACCGGGCAACUUGCAGCGAUUAAAGUCAUGGAUGUCACUGGGGUAAUGUAUU